rnacentral:rRNA from 1 species
GAUGAACGCUGGCGGCGUGCCUAAUACAUGCAAGUCGAGCGAACGGACGAGAAGCUUGCUUCUCUGAUGUUAGCGGCGGACGGGUGAGUAACACGUGGAUAACCUACCUAUAAGACUGGGAUAACUUCGGGAAACCGGAGCUAAUACCGGAUAAUAUUUUAAACCGCAUGGUUCAAAAGUGAAAGACGGUCUUGCUGUCACUUAUAGAUGGAUCCGCGCUGCAUUAGCUAGUUGGUAAGGUAACGGCUUACCAAGGCAACGAUGCAUAGCCGACCUGAGAGGGUGAUCGGCCACACUGGAACUGAGACACGGUCCAGACUCCUACGGGAGGCAGCAGUAGGGAAUCUUCCGCAAUGGGCGAAAGCCUGACGGAGCAACGCCGCGUGAGUGAUGAAGGUCUUCGGAUCGUAAAACUCUGCUAUUAGGGAAGAACAUAUGUGUAAGUAACUGUGCACAUCUUGACGGUACCUAAUCAGAAAGCCACGGCUAACUACGUG